ensembl:miRNA
UUGGCCUUGUGAUGACUCUCGGUCUUCUUGGGCAGUAGCACGGCCUGAAUGUUGGGCAGGACACCACCCUGAGCGAUGGUCACUUUGCCCAGCAGCUUGUUGAGCUCCUCGUCGUUACGGAUGGCCAGCUGCAGGUG